UUAUCGGUGCAAAUUCGACCCGGCUAACUCUCGCUCCGGCCGGAAGCACAAGGAGCGGUCCAGGAGGCAACGAGUGGGCUGAAGCACUUCUUGAAACCGUUCGCUGGGCCUGCCGUCGGUCGGUCCAGCGCCA
rfam:Candidatus Burkholderia humilis strain TZHbot5 BHTMctg31, whole genome shotgun sequence.